rnacentral:lncRNA from 1 species
GUAGCCACAUGAAAAUGUUCUAAAAAAUCUAAAAGAAUUUUAACGUUAGUCCAAUUUUGUGUAGUUAGUAUGUCAUUAUCUUCCUCCCCACAAUCCCGAGAAUUAUACGUAACAUUAAUUGGGUUUCUAUAUUUGUACGCUACUACUAAACUUUCGUACAUGUAGUUCCACCUAAUCGGGCAAGGUUUAGGAACCUUUCUUUCUCUAAGGCCAUAUUCGUC